rnacentral:rRNA from 1 species
AGGUAGUAUUACUAAAUAAAACCUAAUUAUAACUGGCGGCUCCUGUGUUACUAGAGGAACUUGUUAAAUAAUCGACAACCCACGUUAUUUUUCACUUUAAAAAUAAAUUUAUAUAUCGCCAUCUAAAGAAAUUUUUAAAAAAAUUUUUCUUAAAAAUAAAUAAAAAGUUAGGUCAAGGUGUAAUCAAUAUUGAAGGCUUCAAUGAGUUACAUUAAAUACAAUUUAAGGAUUUUAUAUAUAAAUAUAUAAAUAAAAUAGGAUUUAAAAGUAAUUUUUAAAAAUUAUUAUAUUUUGAAAAACUUAUCAAGAGUGC